rnacentral:rRNA from 1 species
GAUGAACGCUGGCGGCGUGCCUAAUACAUGCAAGUCGAGCGAACGGACGAGAAGCUUGCUUUUCUGAUGUUAGCGGCGGACGGGUGAGUAACACGUGGAUAACCUACCUAUAAGACUGGGAUAACUUCGGGAAACCGGAGCUAAUACCGGAUAAUAUUUUGAACCGCAUGGUUCAAAAGUGAAAGACGGUCUUGCUGUCACUUAUAGAUGGAUCCGCGCUGCAUUAGCUAGUUGGUAAGGUAACGGCUUACCAAGGCAACGAUGCAUAGCCGACCUGAGAGGGUGAUCGGCCACACUGGAACUGAGACACGGUCCAGACUCCUACGGGAGGCAGCAGUAGGGACUCUUCCGCAAUGGGCGAAAGCCUGACGGAGCAACGCCGCGUGAGUGAUGAAGGUCUUCGGAUCGUAAAACUCUGUUAUUAGGGAAGAACAUAUGUGUAAGUAACUGUGCACAUCUUGACGGUACCUAAUCAGAAAGCCACGGCUAACUACGUG